CCCCCGUCAGCAUCAACCGGGGAGGGGGCGGCCCCCGCGGCCACGCCGGCACCACCUACAUCUUUGGCAAGGGGGGGGCACUGAUCACCUACACGUGGCCCCCCAAUGACCGGCCCAGCACCCGCGCCGACCGCCUGGCCUUGGGAUUCAGCACCCAGCAGCGCGACGCUGUCCUGGUGCGCGUGGAGAGCGCCUCGGGGCUGGGGGACUUCCUGCAGCUGCACAUCG
rnacentral:lncRNA from 1 species